GGAGAGGAAAGAAAGAAAGGGUGGCUUGGCGAGCUUGGGGAGAGAGAAGGAGAGGGAUGCGCCGGUGAGACGAGAGCGUGGGUUGGGAUCGAGGGCUGCUACGCGGCGGCGGGUGGUAGAAGGGGGUGGCAGACGGACGAAACGGUGGCGGGGGUGGAAGAGGGGGAGCCGCGUCGUGUAGACUUUGCUUACUCGCGUCGUGGAGGAGAGGGCCUAAGGCAGCGUAGGGCACCAGCGGCGGGAGCAGAGGGAGCCGCGCCGCGAAGGGGUGGCUGCUGGAGCUACGGGUAGGGGGGUGGCCGCGGCGGGGGUGGUUGGAAGAGAGAGAGAGAGAAGGGAACCGGCCGCGUGCGAACACCUCCGUCUGGGCGCUGCGCGGUGGAGGCGGGGCAGCAGCAGCCGCCGACGAGCAGUUGCCGGCACCAGGUCUUCGUGUCGAAGCGGACCGGCGCUGCCUAGACGCGUUCCCGGCGCGACCCGCUCCUCGGGGGUACGAGCCGGCGGUGAACCAAGCGAGGAGAAGAAAGCCGGUGGCCCUCUCCUGGAGCACUGCCGCUACGAUGGCCUAGGCGCUGCCUCCACGAGCUCCAGCGCGCGUCGCUGUCCUCCGGCUUUACAAAACAACACCUCUGGUGCCUACCCUGAUAGCGUCAACGAAGACACAAAGCGCCCGUAGUCCUUCCCUAGUGUUCAAGAACAGCUUUCGCCAUCUUCUCCCUCAAUUGACACCGGUACCUCCGGACAAACCGAGGCUGCGGUACCUACGGCGACGCGAGAGAGUAGCAGGAGGAGGGACUGGGGAUCCGUGUAGCCCGGCGACACGAAGAAGAUCAAAGUGUAACAAUGUUUAGGAAGUACCACGAUAACUUAUGAGGACGACGGUGUGUUCUGCUGGUUCUACUCAGGCAGCUACUUCGCCGUCGCAGAGGAGAUCUCCCACUGCCGCCGCCGCCGCGGACACACGCCGAAGCUGAUGUUGGAGGAGAGGCCCGCUGGGAUCUUCCGUAUAGUGGCAAGACAAUCGGGUCAGGACUGUCCUCGUCCGCGGAUCAAAUGCUAGCGAUAGCCUUCUCGAGGUACGACUUCUUGUAUCGAGCAUUGAUAGAACAAUCAUGUGUACACCUCGAACAUUGGCACUAACGGUAUGAAAAUCUCGAACAUCGAUGAAUAAUGUGAACAUCUCGAAGACCAUCUCGUACAUAUACAACCUCGAAUAAUGCACAUCUCGAACAUCUAGAACAUUUCAUAACAUAUACAAUAAUGGACAAUAAACAUGUUGUCCUCGAGACAUGACUUAGACCUCAUAAUGCAAACAAAAAACAAACACGGUUA
rnacentral:rRNA from 1 species